rnacentral:piRNA from 1 species
UGGACACCCUGUAUGUCUAAGCCAGCCAG